GAAUUAGAGUAAAAACAUUUUCAUUUAAUUAGAUUUAACAUGAACAUUCUGUCCCCUGCUGGGAACUCUAAGAACUACAUCACCUGUACCACCAAUUUUUCUAUGGUCAUAGGGACUUUAGGUUAAACCUUGAAUUCAGUUUUCUAUAUGUUCUUUGUUUUGGUAAUACACAGAAAAUUUUUACAUAAAAUCUGUAAGGCAUUACUUUUAUUAAGGUUCAAUAUCUGUUAAAUAUUGCACAUUUUUGCAUGAUAUAAUGAAUCUAAAUACACUGUAAUAAAAUCAAAUCUUCACCUUCAUUUUAAAUAUGAAUAAAUAUUUUUCAUCUUCGCUCAAACUUAGAGGAGAAAUCUGAUGAGAGAGCAGGUGAAAUUUAAAUACUUGAUUAAAAUAUUUGAUUUUUUAAAAAUAUUCACUGUUUGGUUGUAGGUAGACAUCGAGUAUAUUUAUAUACAACAUUGCCCUACCCAUAGAAAGGAGUGGGUAAUCACUUGAGCAAGUGCAAAGUUAUGGACUGGAGUAUGGACUAUGGGACAAACCAACAAUUUCUUGGGUGUAGCUGGAACGGUGUAUACAUAGGAUAUUUAUCAGUGUGGAGUGGAGAACAAAUGCGAGACUAGAAAUAAGAUGAUAAAACCUUCCCUCUCCAAAACCUAUGAAUAAUAAACACUUUUGCCAGCUAAUAUCUAUGAGCUCUCUGGCUUUGGACAACUUAGAAACUUUCAUUUCCUCAUCUGCAAAGUGGAAAUAUUAGUCAAGUUGUGAGGACUAAAUGAAAUAAUGAUGUAAAGUACCAAGAACAGAGUCUGGGGCUAAGUAAAUGCUUAAUAAAUACUAAAUAUUGAAAUCAUUGUCAACAUCUAACAACAGUAAUACCAGUAGAAACCUAACAAUUUUUAUAUCACUGAUACUAAUUUGUUAGAAAUCUUAAUUGAAAAUAUAUAAAUUUAAUUUUUGUAAAGAGAGGGAUGAGUACAUAUGAUAUACUCAGAGGAAGAUCUAAAGCAAAAUCACUAGAAAACUAGAAAGAAAACAGUGGGAAAAGAUCUUUCAGGCAAAUGCUAACAAAAAGAAAGCUGUAGUCAUGAUAGUAGGAUAAAAUUUAAGANUAUAAUACAAGGUGAAGGAGGAAAUCUUAUGAUGGCAGAAGCUCUACAGAGAAGGUAUACAUUUCAUAAACCUUAAAGCAUUGAAUAAUAUAAUAAUAAAAAUACAUAAAGAAAACUGCAGAACUACAAGGAAAGAUAGUCAGAAAGUAGUACUAGUCUACUUUAAUUCACUUCAUGGAUUAAGAUGUCAAAAUUGGUACGGAUAUAUUUGGAUGAUGAAGUCAAUGAGGUUGAUGAAAUAGAUUUGGUUGAUGAAAUAGAUGAAAUAGGUAUCCCGUUAUCUGAAAACCAAUCUUAGUUUUAAAAGUUCAUGAAACAUUUACCAAACUAACUAUACAUUGGCCCACAUACACACACAGAAAUCUCUUAAUUAAUUCCCAAAAUUAGAACUAAUCCAGACUACAUUCUCUGAUAACUAUGCAAUUCAACAAAAAUGAGUGAACAAAAUAAAAGUGAAGAUUAUAUUUUAAAUAUAAACACUACUUAAAACAACUUUGGUGCAAAAAGGAAAUAAAACUGUUUUUGCAGAAUGUGUACAAAAUAAUAAUUAAAACAUUACACACCAAAACCUAUAGAAUACAACUACUACUGUGUUCAGCAGAUAGUCAUGGUUUCAAACAGGAAUACAAGAAAGAAGAAAAACAACAUACUGUUUAACUAAAAAAAUUAGAAAGUGAGAAGUUCUCCUAUGGCACAGCAGGUUAAGGAUCUAGUGUUGCCAUAGCUGUGGUGCAGAUCUCAACUGCUGUGUGGCCCAGGAACUUCUCGUGCUGUGGGUGCAGCCAAAAAAAAAAAAAAAAAAAAAAAAAAAAAAAGUA
rnacentral:lncRNA from 1 species